AUACGGAGGAUGCGAGCGUUAUCCGGAUUUAUUGGGUUUAAAGGGUGCGUAGGCGGGCUGGUAAGUCAGCGGUGAAACGCAGGUGCUCAACACCUGACCUGCCGUUGAAACUGCCGGUCUUGAAUGCGGAUGCUGUGGGAGGAAUGUGUGGUGUAGCGGUGAAAUGCAUAGAUAUCACACAGAACACCGAUUGCGAAGGCAUCUCACAAAUCCGUGAUUGACGCUGAGGCACGAAAGUGCGGGGAUCGAACAGGAUUAGAUACCCUGGUAGUCCGCACUGUAAACGAUGAUGACUCGCUGUCGGCGAUAGACAGUCGGUGGCCAAGCGAAAGCGAUAAGUCAUCCACCUGGGGAGUACGACCGCAAGGUUGAAACUUAAAGGAAUUGACGGGG
rnacentral:rRNA from 1 species